GCACUGCUUAAGCUUUCAUAAUUUUAACGGUUUCUUUGUUGUUAAGUGUAACCAUUAAUAUUAAUAAUGUUAUUAAUAGUGAUAGUUAUAAUAGGAUAAUACUUACAAUCUCCUGAGAUGUUUAAAUGCUGAAAAAAUUCUUGCAGGUAAUUCUGUGAUUCGAUUUUGCUCUAAUCGUCUGAAAAGGAAAACAUAAAAAUCAAGAAGAAGGUCAUUUCACUGGGAAUGUUCAGAAUUUUGAGUGCAGAAGGAGGAUUUGAAACAGGAUGGCCAAAGGAAAGCAAGAAGAGGCAAAGGAUGAAAUUCCAGUUUUUGCUCGUUGAAGGGUUCAGUUGGAAAGCUACAAAAUGGUUUCAAGUUGAAUGAUGAACACUUGUCAAAUAGCCAAUGGUUACUUGGUCAGCAUGUCAAAUGAUCUAAUCUUUCGUUCUCUCUUUUCCUUCUUCUUAUUAUUUUUAUUAUUAUUAGAGAGAGAAAGGUAAAUACUUUAAUGGUAAUUACCUUUGUACAGUUAUAUUCAUGGUUGAUUAAAUUGUGUAUGAACAAGGGAAACAUUUUCAAUUACAAGUGUACAUUUGGAUGGAAGGAAAAGCAAAAUUUUUUGCUUCUUAAACAAUUUCUUGGACAAGAAAUGAUGAUGCUGAUGAUGAUGAGAAUGAAAUUCAACAUUUUGACAUGUUUUUUCAUUUCCAUGGAUCUGGCCAUGUUCUUGUCUAAUGUUAUUUUUGGAAUCUGAUGGAAUUAAGAUGAUUCUGAUUGUUUGUUUCAUGUUGCUGUUGUAUUGGUCUUUUUUUACUCCUAAUAGUUAUGGUCAAGUUAACCCAAAGUUACAAUCUUAAUUAAAUGUAAAACCACUGAACAAACAGCAUUUAAUGUUACAUUUGGUUUUUUUUGUUGUGGUUAAUGGCGUUGACUUUCAAUUAGAUUUGUAUUCAUCUUCAAUUUACCGUGUGGUCUUGAGCUGGACGUUGAAUCGCAGGAUUUUCAAGAAUCAUAAUAACAAUUGAAUUUGAUUUUACCAUUUCAUCACGCAACUUUCAACUCAAUCUUUGUACAAGCUUAAGUUACAAAUCAAACAAGGAUUUUAUCAAAAAAAUGAGAAAAGAUGAAAUUUUGAUAAUCUUGAAAAGGAACCUCAAACUUGCCAGUUGAACAAUCAAAUUAACGGUUAAAUUAAUUAUAAUUAGAUCAAAAUUUAGUGUCAGUCACAUCUCCAAAAUUAAUCAAUUUUAAUGGCUUUGAUAAUGGUUUUUACAUUCAUUUUGGUCCUUUAUCUUUAAUCAUAUAAUAGUGAUUAAUGAUUCUAUCGAUUGAAGUAGUCCAUUGAAUACCUCUAGUUGAAUACCUUUACACAAUUUAGGUAUGUUGAUAAUAACCAUAACCACCAGUAACUAUUAACUGGAUAAACAAUUAAUUGUCCUCACUUAUCCUCUAAUGCUCAUAAGAACUAAUAACAAUCAUAUGUUAGAGUUAAAUGUAGAUGAUUUAAGGGCUAAAUUAAUUGAUUUUAUCUUGAAAUUGAAUUGUUGUUUUACUAGAAAUUGCAGGGGAAAGUGAAUUUACCAAGUAACCUUAGGCUAUACAAAUGAUUGAAAUUUAUUAAAUUAUUGUAAUAUAUUUAAAAAGUAAACACAAUUAAGGGUCUAACAAAAAUUGAAUUGCCCGCUGUAAGCAGAAAUUUUAAUUGUUUUUGUUGAUUGUGUGACAGCCAAUGGUUUAUCGAGUCCAAUUGUAAUGUAAUUAAGUGCUACUAAUGUAAUUGUAAAGAUGAAAGCUCUGGAUCAUCGUCAACAAAUGAUGUGGAAAAAUGGCCAUGUAAAUGAAUAAAUUGUUGGUGACAUUCAAUUUGAAAGUAAAUAGCUUUUUUACGUUGGUUGAUUGAAUGAACCAAAAAACAAGUCCCAAUAGAGAUUGAAGCGCCUUCCCUGAUGAUCCAGUCAACCUGAUCAAAUCAAGUUAUGUCAGUUAUGAUUUAAGUUAAUUUCAGGUUGAUUGAACACAUCCAUUGACAAUGGUGGAGAUGAAACAAUCCAAGAAGGCUGAUUUGCUGGCUAAACAAUGAUGGACCGAAAUGAAGUUUCCACUGAUCAAAUUUAACCAAAUUCUGGGGCAUCUGUAAAUUAUUAACCAAUUGCCAUUUCUAUUUUCAAAUUUAAUUCAAUGUGACUGAUAUCUCAAUUUAAAUUCCUGUUGAAUGCUGUUCCAUCAUCAAGUGAUUAACCCACAAAUCAUACUCGAUAAAAAUGGUUAAAUCUUAAUUAAACUGGUAUCCAGCUUUUUUGGGUCCAACUUUAAAUUUUUCAAUUUUCAUCUCUACCAUUAUUUUAAUCGUCCAGAUUAUCUGCUGAUGAAAUUGCUGGUUGAUUACGAAGCUAGAUCACGGUUUACCCUCAUAAAUAACAAAUAUAUCACUAUAUGCAA